CUGAAAGCUGCAACUUCUGCUGCUCUUCUCCUUUUGCCAUCUAAAUUCACGGAGGAAGAUUUAUAUGCCAAAAUCUGUAGCCUCUCAUAUACAGGUGAACAAAAUUGUACAAGGACAGUUCCAUUUAUUUGAGGAAAUGUAUAAGCCAUUUCUGGAAGAAUACGAGGCCAAAAACUUGUUGAGAUUUUCAGUAGCUGGUGAUAAGCAAG
rnacentral:misc_RNA from 1 species